rnacentral:lncRNA from 1 species
GGGCGACCGCCACAAUCAGAGGGUGCGAGCUGGACCCACCGGGGCCACUGGUCUCCAGGGUGGGAGGAUGGCUGCUGCCUGUCCGCUGCCGGAGCCUCCUUUCUCCCAGCAGAGGAGGGAGAGCGCGCGCACGUACACACACUCUCAUACACACACGCACGCACACACAUCCUUCCCUUAGAGUUGUGUCUCGUCUCCCUUUUGUUUUUCUCCCUUCCCGGUCAUGAGACCCGGAAGUUUUUUUUUUUUUUUUUUUUAAUCCCGUCUCUCUCCCUUUUCCAACCCCCCCGCCAUCUAUCACAUGGCAGAGAUAGAAUAAAAACAGAAAAAUGGCGACGGUCACGUUGUGGCGAGCCUUGCUGCGUCAUUAGAUAAUCCUCAUGCAAAUAGCGGGAAGAACAAAGGAAGGGGAGCCCGGGACCCCCGGGGGCGCAGAAAUGGGAGUGAAGUGAUUUCUGAUUUUUCCCUUGGGAAAGCAGAAAGAAACCCUUCCUCGUACAGCUGCUCCCAUGAGAAAAAGUUCAACAGAAAACAUAUUAAAUGCCCAUUUCCCAAGACUCUCAAUCAGAGUGGUAAGAAGCAAAGGGACGACGCUACAGAGGUGUCUGGGAAACUCAGGCUGAUUAAAGGUAGCCUCCUUGACUUGCAGGCUCUGUGAAGGAAAGCACACCUCAUAAAUCCUUUUGGACUGUUUUUUGGCUAAACUCUCAGAUUUAUACGAAGAACUAUUUUAAAUGAAUCAGCGUGUCUUUGUUUGCAUCUUCUGAGAUUCUGAAGACUGCAGCCAAGGAGCUAGUAAGGCUGAGAAAUGGAUUGAGCAUUUAAUCGGUUGAAUACUUCCUUAUGUUUUCCUCGUGUGUUCUCAUAACAAGCGACCUUAGUCCAACUCCUAGUAACACAUGAUUGUGGAAUGUGCCCUCCUGAGAAAUACUGCCUUAUUUUUUCAUCCUGAGCACAUUGAAAGUCUCUGAAAAUGCAGAUGAGCUUGUUUGGACAAUGGUAAUAAUAAUAUAUGCUAGCGAUACCUGCUGUGUGUCUGGUAUUUUACAUGUUACAACUGAGUGUCACAACAGCCCUGGUCAAAUGCAGGGAAAAUGAAGACCUAGAAAAACUAGGUCACUUACCUGAUGUCACUCAGUUCAAGCCCAGGUUUCUGCAUUUCUAAAUUUUCCACAGAUUCUUAUCAGCAUCCUUGACAAAUGAGGCUAUGCCAGAACCCCCAAAUCAUGACAUUUUCAUUGAUUCUUUUCUUCCACCUGCAAACAACAUCAGGAUCUACUCCUGUUUGGUUUUUUUCUUUGAAUAUACGUCACCUAUUUAAUAAUUCAGAAGUGGGAUGAUGCACUUAACUGUAGGUCCGUGGGCUCAGAAGUCCCUGUGGUAGUAAUAGCUUAACAUUGUUUGAGGACUUUCUAUUGAACUGUCCACAACUGAUUUUUUUUUUACCUGUAUUAUCUCAAUUCUUUCACAGAAGCCACAUCCCCCUCCCUGUCCCUUUUUCUGCCUUAUUUGUUCAUAGCAUUAACACUUGCACACAGUACGUCCACACUAACGUACUUCAGUAUACUUACUGUGUUUAACGCUGCCUGACUCCACUAGAAUGUAAGCUCUGUGCGAUCUGUAUGACUUUUUUUUUUUUUUGAGAUGAAGUCUCGCUCUGUUGCCCGGGCUGGAGUGCAGUGGCGUGAUCUCGGCGCACUGCAAGCUCCGCCUCCCAGGUUCACGCCAUUCUCCUGCCUCAGCCUCCCGAGUAGCUGGGACUACACGCACCUGCCACCACGCCCGGCUAAUUGUUUUGUAUUUUUAGUAGAGACGGGGUUUCACCGUGUUAGCCAGGAUGGUCUCGAUCUCCUGACCUUGUGAUUUGCCCGUCUUGGCCUCCCAAAGUGCUGGGAUUACAGGCGUGAGCCAUCGCGCCCAGCCUUGUAUGACUUUUUAGUUAUGAGAUAAGUCCCUACCAAGUAGGACCAGGUUCAAAUGUUUUUGAAUUAAUGAACAAUCUAUAUAGGUAAAUAUCAUCCCAUUUACAGAUAUGGAAACUGAGGUUCAUGGGAUUAAAUAAUGUGUUUCAAAGGGGAAGUAGUUAUUUUUAAUUUCAAAAUCAGUUUUUAAGUAUUCAUGGUAACAGUAGCUUCCUUUCCCCCACUGUAUGGUUAGAAUGAAACAAAAAAAAUUUUUUGGAGACAGGGUUUUACCCAGGCUAGAGUUCAAUGGCAUAAUCGUAGGUCACUGUUGACUCCAACUCCUGGGCUCAAGCUAUCCUCUUGCCUCAGCCUCCAAGUAACUAGGACUACAGGUAUGUGCCAAGAUGCCUAGCUAUUUUUUUUUUCCUAUAGCGAUGGGAUCUCACUGUGUUGCCUAGGCUGGUCUUGAACUCCAGGCCUCAAGUGAUCCUCCCUCAGCCUGUCAAAGUGCUGGGAUUACAGGUGUGGGCCAUUGUGCCUGACACUGAAAUGAAAAAGUUAACCAAAAAAAAAAAAAAAAAAAGAGGUUGGGGCUGGAUGCGGUGGCUCACACUGCGGUGGCUCACACCUGUAAUCCCAGCACUUUGGGAGACUGAGGCGAGUGGAUCACUUGAGGCCAGGAGUUCGACACCAGCCUGACCAACAUGGUGAAACUCCAUCUCUACUAAAAACACAAAAAACCAGAAUUUCAGAGCUGUGAGAGACCUGGGAGCUAUUUGAACCAGCCUACCUACCCCCUUCAGCCCCAUCCCCAGUGCCAGAUUCUGGGACUCAGGUCUCCUUCAACCAAAUGGCCUGUUCCACUGAUGGACAGCUACACUGUCAUUGAAUGGCUGCAUUGUCAGAAAAUUCUUUGUAUCAAGCUGAAUUUUAUCUCCAGGUAACUUCCAAACGUUGGUCUGAGUCCUCCCCUUUAAGAAUGACGAAAUAAAGGAAAAUAUAAUCUUGGUUUACUUAUACUCCUCAGUGGGUGUCUCUUGUCCCAGUCCCUCAGACACUCCUGGCUUGGCAUCUUUCCAGCCGUUUUCCAUCCUGUGGGCUCCCUUUGGCAUGGCCUCCAGCUUGUCCGUGUCUGACUUAAGGGCCUCAUCCGGGCCUGCAGGUGGGGUAUUGGGAGUGCAUCAUACCACCCUGUUGUUCAUUCAUAUCCCCCAAGUCUUUCAAAGUAAACUAUUGUUGAACUCUAGUGGGAAGAAAGUACUGCACAGGUGGAACCAAGGAUUGCUGAUGAUUAUGAAAAAUAAUAGUGAUGUCUGUGGACACUCUGCUCUCCAUUUUUCUGUGCACUCCCUGUGCCACACCCAAGACAGUUCUUAAAAGAGUGACCACUUAUUGAGUUCUGACUGUGUAUAAGAUACUGUCCUAGACACUUUACAUACACCACCCAUUUAACUUUCUAAACAACCAUAUUCUUAGAUAUGAUUUAGCUCUUGAGAAGACAGAUUAGAAGAGAUUAACUGAUGUGUUUAAGAUCACAUAGCUUGUAAUUGGUGGAGCUUGGAUCUGAAGCUAUGUUUGUCUGACUCCAAAUCCCAAGCUUGAUAAGAUUUACUUCCAGGAGCUAUAAAGAGGAUAAGCUUAGCUAUUUGAGGCUCCCAUUUUCAUUCUCUCUCAAAAACUUGCAAGAGAGAUAUUUUAAAGGAGUGAUGACAUCUUUUUCCUAUCAUGUGAAGAGGGGAAAGAGAAAGGAAAGGGCCCAUAUUAUUGUGUUCCUGCUUGUGCCAGCUGUUCUAUAUCUGUUGAUCUCAUUUAGUCCUCAUGACAGUUCUAUGAGGAGGGCACUGUCAUCAUCACCAUUGCACAGAUGCAGAAACUGUGGCUCACAGAGGAUAAAGCUAGGUCACUCACACAACCCCCUGACUCCAGAGCCACCAUGAUUUCAUGCUUCCCACCAUGCUUUCAUGCUUCCCACCACACAAAUGCCACAUCACAGAGAAGGUUUUUGAACUCUAACUGCCACUCUCCCAGAGGGUCUUUAGCUAGACCCUUACCCACUGUGAUAGUCUCUCUUCUCCUGUCUGUCACUUCCAAUCUUAGUAACUGACCAAAUUACCUAAGCAGAAAAGGAGAAAAAAAAACCCUUCACUAAAUUAGAUAAGCAUUCAUUCAUUCAUUAGACUUGCUAUAUGCUUGGCUUUGGGCCAGAGAUCAGCCAUGGGAGCAAAGUAAGAAGUCCGCUGCAGUUAUUAGAGCUCAGCUUUGAUGUGGCCAUCAUGCCUUCUUCCUCCCCAGCUGUAUGACCCAAUACAAGAACUCAUGGUGAGUGUGACAGGCACUGCCAAGACCCAGUCAUUUAGCGGUGCUGACCGAGGACCGUGGACCCACCAGUCUUCAGACUGAGUUGACUUACUUUCUAAAACAUAGGUACAGAAAUUAUUUAUUUAGGGACCACUAGAUUUGGAAUGCUACCAAAUCCCAUUACUAGUCUAUAAUCACACAAUAUUUUUACCUGCAUCAUUCCAUUUGUUCCAACAACCUGGUAAUGUAGGCUGGGCAACAGUUCAUUGUUAUGUUUUACAAACAGAGAAUCAAACUCAGAGAAAAGACUUGCCCAGGGCAUCACAGUCUCCAAGGGUGACAGCAGGACACAGCCUGCUGGAGCUAUGAAUCUUGCUGUUGCACUCAGUUGUCCUCUUUUGCUUCACUCCUCUCUUGUACUGCCGCCCAAACUGCGUGUACAUCUCUCCCCUUGCCGUUGGCCUGUUGGCUACAAACAGCCACCAGCUCAGCAAAAACAACAAGACCAAAUUGGAACUACUCUUUCAGGCUCCACUUCCCAAGCCAUCUGGUCACCCUGACUUUCCACCACACAGGUGCAGUGGUUUGCAGAUUGUCAUCAAUCUUCACCUUCACUUAAAAGUCACGUUGACUCUCUACAGCACCAAGCUGCCAUAAGCAUUCUUUUUCUACAGGCAGGUACGUAGGUAUUAAUCCUAAUGUCACACUAACCCAUUUGAAAAACUUGCAACUUCAUUUACUUUCUCUAAGGUAGACAAUAAGCUCAGAAAUUGUCCUGAAAGCCAAGGAUUUCCUGUGAUGGGCUCACUGAAAAACAUCUGACCUAAAGCUCACUCUGCACUUUGCCAAAAAGCAGAAACAACCAUCUCCACAUCACCAGUUCAGGGUCCCAGCCUGCUGAGCCUCCAAACCCAGCCCCAUCCAUAUCUCUAACCUUUGCCAACCACUAGUCUAUCCUUGCUUUCUAAAAUUAUGUCCUUUCAAAAAUGUUACGUAAAUAGGGCUGGGCACAGUGGUUUACACCUGUAAUCCCAGCAUUUUGGGAGGCCGAGGCAGGUGGAUUACCUGGGGUCAGGAGUUUGAGACCAGCCUGGCCAACACAGUGUAACCUCAUCUCUUAAAAAAUACAAAAAUUCAGCCAGGUG